GCUCCGGUGGCCUAGUGGCUAGAGCGUCCGUCUCCGUUGCGAGAGGUCGUGGGUUUAAUCCCCGGUCGAGUCA